UACGAAGGUGGCAAGCGUUGUUCGGAUUUACUGGGCGUACAGGGAGCGUAGGCGGUUGGGUAAGCCCUCCGUGAAAUCUCCGGGCCUAACCCGGAAAGUGCGGAGGGGACUGCUCGGCUAGAGGAUGGGAGAGGAGCGCGGAAUUCCCGGUGUAGCGGUGAAAUGCGUAGAGAUCGGGAGGAAGGCCGGUGGCGAAGGCGGCGCUCUGGAACAUUUCUGACGCUGAGGCUCGAAAGCGUGGGAGCAACAGG
rnacentral:rRNA from 1 species